rnacentral:rRNA from 1 species
UACGGGGGAUGCAAGCGUUAUCCGGAAUGAUUGGGCGUAAAGCGUCUGUAGGUGGCUUCACAAGUCAACUGUCAAAAAUCAGGGCUUAACCUUGAGCCGGCAGUUGAAACUAUGGAGCUUGAGUUAGGUAGGGGCAGAGGGAAUUCCUAGUGUAGCGGUGAAAUGCGUAGAUAUUAGGAAGAACACCGAUCGCGAAAGCACUCUGCUGGGCUAUGACUGACACUGAGAGACGAAAGCUAAGGGAGCAAAUGGG